rnacentral:lncRNA from 1 species
GUUUCACCACCUCGGCCAGCAGCUGCUUAAUCAUACUAGUUACCUUCAACACAAAGGUCAUGUGCUGAAAGUAAAUGAUUAUCUGUUGGCUGCUUCGCUUCAUGUUUACAACUUUGCUUAGCACCUGGAGGAGAACCUCAAUGUACUGCAUUUCGACUUACCUACCUACAGUCAGUGAGAGGUCUUCAGCUGGCUGUGCUUGAUGGACCGUAUGAACAAUCCCAUGGAAGAUGAAAGGGAAGUGCCCAAUGGGGUCAGUGGUCUUUUUGCAAAAGGAGAGGCUGUCUGCCAGUCCUGAACGGAGGACGAAUGAAGGAAGUGAAGCUCACAGGGUGGCUGCUGGUGGUGACAUUUCCUCUCCACUUUCUGCUGGCAGUGGCUAUUCACAAAGGAGUCUGCCCACUGCCUGGGAUUCUGUGAUAUAUGCCAACACCUUCCCCUUUACUUAACUCGGAGCACUCAGCACCUUUGAUGUAAGGGCGAAUGCCUUUUUAUUUUUAAUCUGAACUGAACCUUUCCACAGGUGCUGGCUACCCCAGAGCUCACCAUAGCAUUUUCCUCUCAAGCACCCAGGGCUCCACAAUGAUGGCAGGCACCAAGAUCUGAAGAAGACUCCCUGUAGCAUCUCAUUUGCACUUCAUCCUCCGUGGCUUCCCUAGCUUCAGCUAGCUUACAGAACUGUUUGCUUUACCUAACCCAAGCUGGAGUGGCAACUGGGUCUCAGACUGUUGUCCUUGACGCUGAUAUGGGACUAUAAGACACUGCCUUUUUGGAAACUGUCUUUCAUGGAUUUGCAGUGAAACUUGGUCACAGAAUUCUGGCCCAAUGCCUGUCAAGGGUGUGGGAGUUGGAGUCAGCCAGGCCCAUGGAACCUUCCACAGCCCUCUUAUCUGUUAGUAGAAGGUGGGAGUAACCACACUGAGAACUGAAGGCCAUUAAGCUUGCAAAAGAGCCUCCAGAUGUUGCCAUGGAGCCAGCGCUUCUGACCUGGACCAGGCUUGGUCUAUGCAGGGGUUAGUUAACCAUUAAAAGGCUAAGGGUGCUGACUCAUGGAUUUAAUUUCUGGCUGGAGACAUUCAGUGCUUUAUAUCGCUCCCAACUAAUCCAGUGUCUAAAUGUUAACUGGAUGGAGGGCUUUGGGGGUGUGUCAAAUGAACACCAGAGAAUGCAAACCUGGGAGUAGAGACCAGUGCACCUGACAUUCAGGGUUUAGAGCAGGUUCAAGAGGAUGAGCAAUGCAUAGCUUUCAAAAAGGUGUGAGACCAUUAGUGAUGUGUGAGUUGUUUUUUUUUCUAUCAACUUGGAUAAGAUAAGAAAGGGGAGCUGUGGUUUGUGCCUUCCUGACCUGGAAGAAUUUUCCAGACUUCAGCGGAUGGUAAGAUCAAGUUAAUAAGUACAAGAUCCAGUACCACGAAUUUGCACACAUACCCUAAUUUCUAUUGAUUACAG